GAUGAACGCUGGCGGCGUGCCUAACACAUGCAAGUCGAACGAAGCACCUUACCUGAUUCUUCGGAUGAAAGUUUGGUGACUGAGUGGCGGACGGGUGAGUAACGCGUGGGUAACCUGCCCUGUACAGGGGGAUAACAGCUGGAAACGGCUGCUAAUACCGCAUAAGCGCACGAGGAGACAUCUCCUUGUGUGAAAAACUCCGGUGGUACAGGAUGGGCCCGCGUCUGAUUAGCUGGUUGGCAGGGUAACGGCAUACCAAGGCAACGAUCAGUAGCCGGUGUGAGAGGAUGAACGGACACACUGGAACUGAGACACGGUCCAAACUCCUACGGGAGGCAGAAGUGGGGAAUAUUGCACAAUGGGGGAAACCCUGAUGCAGCAACGCCGCGUGAGUGAAGAAGUAUUUCGGUAUGUAAAGCUCUAUCAGCAGGGAAGAUAAUGACGGUACCUGACGAAGAAGCUCCGGCUAAAUACGUG
rnacentral:rRNA from 1 species